rnacentral:rRNA from 1 species
ACGGGUGCGGAACACGUACGCAACCUUCCUUCAAGCGGGGAAUAGCCCAGAGAAAUUUGGAUUAAUACCCCAUAAGAAUGUGACCUGGCAUCAGGUAGCAUUUAAAGAUUCAUCACUUGAAGAUGGGCGUGCGUAUGAUUAGGUAGUUGGUGAGGUAACGGCUCACCAAGCCGACGAUCAGUAACUGGCGUGAGAGCGCGACCAGUCACACGGGCACUGAGACACGGGCCCGACUCCUACGGGAGGCAGCAGUAAGGAAUAUUGGUCAAUGGACGCAAGUCUGAACCAGCCAUGCCGCGUGGAGGAUGAAGGCCCUCUGGGUUGUAAACUUCUUUUAUUUGGGACGAAACACUUCAUUUCUAUGGAGCUUGACGGUACCAGAUGAAUAAGCACCGGCUAACUCCGUGCCAGCAGCCGCGGUAAUACGGAGGGUGCAAGCGUUAUCCGGAUUCACUGGGUUUAAAGGGUGCGUAGGCGGACCUGUAAGUCCGUGGUGAAAUCUCCAAGCUUAACUUGGAAAACUGCUAUGGAUACUAUAUGUCUUGAAUGUUGUGGAGGUUAGCGGAAUAUGUCAUGUAGCGGUG